GGGCAGUUGACACACCAGAUGACUUCAGAACAGAUGAUCCAGUGGCGUUGCAACAUCUGAUUGAAGGCCUAUUCUUGGGCAUCCAGCAGAAAAAGAGGGAUCUGUAUCGAGUAACCGACCGUAACAAACAGCGACACAAGAUCCGAAGACGGAUUAGAGAGGAUAAGAAAAAGCUGUUUAAUGCCAUAUCCCAAUACAAAGAUCUUCCAACCACCACAGAAUCUGUAGAUUCAGUUGAAGACCUUCUGGCAGCAGAAAGCCCUAUCUGG